rnacentral:rRNA from 1 species
GAUGAACGCUGGCGGCGUGCCUAAUACAUGCAAGUCGAGCGAACAGACGAGGAGCUUGCUCCUCUGACGUUAGCGGCGGACGGGUGAGUAACACGUGGAUAACCUACCUAUAAGACUGGGAUAACUUCGGGAAACCGGAGCUAAUACCGGGUAAUAUAUUGAACCGCAUGGUUCAAUAGUGAAAGACGGUUUUGCUUUCACUUAUAGAUGGAUCCGCGCCGCAUUAGCUAGUUGGUAAGGUAACGGCUUACCAAGGCGACGAGUCGUAGCCGACCUGAGAGGGUGAUCUGCCACACUGGAACUGAGACACGGUCCAGACUCCUAAGGGAGGCAGCAGUAGGGAAGCUUCCGCAAUGGGCGAAAGCCUGACGGAGCAACGCCGCGUGAGUGAUGAAGGUCUUCGGAUCGUAAAACUCUGUUAUUAGGGAAGAACAAAUGUGUAAGUAACUAUGCACGUCUUGACGGUACCUAAUCAGAAAGCCACGGCUAACUACGUG